GACGAACGCUGGCGGCGUGCUUAACACAUGCAAGUCGAACGAAAAUACCAAGCUUGCUUGGUUGAUUAGUGGCGAACGGGUGAGUAACACGUGAGUAACCUGCCCCUUACUUUCCUGGAUAACUGCUCGAAAGGGUAGCUAAUACGGGAUAUUCUGACCAGCCUGCAUGGGUUGGUUUGGAAAGGUUGUUUUUCUGGUAAGGGAUGGGCUCGCGGCCUAUCAGCUUGUUGGUGGGGUGAUGGCCUACCAAGGCUUUGACGGGUAGCCGGCCUGAGAGGGUGGACGGUCACGCGGGGACUGAGAUACGGCCCAGACUCCUACGGGAGGCAGCAGUGGGGAAGAUGGCACAAGGGGCGCAAGCCUGAUGCAGCGACGCCGCGUGAGGGAUGAAGGCCUUCGGGUUGUAAACCUCUUGCGGCAGGGAACAAGGCACUGCUUUUUUGGUGGUGUUGAGGGUACCUGGAUAAGAAGCGCCGGCUAACUACGUG
rnacentral:rRNA from 1 species